GACUUUAUCGUUUGAGCAUUCUAUUUUGGUGUUAUGGUCGCCUCCAGCAGACCCCAGGAGAGAUCUCUCGGGAUAUCACGUGGGGUAUGGCGUCGGCUUUCCCGAUCUCUUCAAGGUUGAACUUCCGGCUGAUCAGUUAUCGUAUGUCAUCAGAAACCUCAACCCUGGUACGGAGUAUAUCAUCACUGUGCGUGCAUUUAACGCCCAAGGGGAAAGUAUUCCUACCUAUAUCACCGAAUCGACGAAGCCUAAGAGAGAAAAGCCGUCCUCAGUACCUUUGCUACCAGUAGUUGGUCUAAAAGCUGUAGCCCUCUCCUCGUCCAGCAUCAGACUCAGGUGGCAGGACGUUUCUGGGCGAGACACGGACACAACAUAUAGUGUCCGCUACUUCAGCCGGACUGCUAGCAAGCAGGGUUACCAGUAC